UACGAAGGGUGCAAGCAUUGUUCGGAUUUACUGGGUGUAAAGGGUGCGCAGGCGGCAUAUUAAGUCAAUCGUUAAAUCUUCUGGCCUAACUGGAAGCUCGCGAUAGAUACUGAUGUGCUCGAGGAUGGAAGAGAGAAGUAGAAUUCUCGGAGUAGCGGUAAAAUGCGUAGAUCUCGAGAGGAAUACCGAUGGCGAAGGCAGCUUCUUGGUCCAUUCCUGACGCUCAUGCACGAAAGCGUGGGGAGCAAACAGG
rnacentral:rRNA from 1 species